GAUGAACGCUGGCGGCGUGCCUAAUACAUGCAAGUCGAGCGAACAGACGAGGAGCUUGCUCCUCUGACGUUGGCGGCGGACGGGUGAGUAGCACGUGGAUAACCUACCUAUAAGACUGGGAUAACUUCGGGAAACCGGAGCUAAUACCGGAUAAUAUAUUGAACCGCAUGGUUCAAUAGUGAAAGACGGUUUUGCUGUCACUUAUAGAUGGAUCCGCGCCGCAUUAGCUAGUUGGUAAGGUAACGGCUUACCAAGGCAACGAUGCGUAGCCGACCUGAGAGGGUGAUCGGCCACACUGGAACUGAGACAUGGUCCAGACUCCUACGGGAGGCAGCAGUAGGGAAUCUUCCGCAAUGGGCGAAAGCCUGACGGAGCAACGCCGCGUGAGUGAUGAAGGUCUUCGGAUCGUAAAACUCUGUUAUUAGGGAAGAACAAAUGUGUAAGUAACUAUGCACGUCUUGACGGUACCUAAUCAGAAAGCCACGGCUAACUACGUG
rnacentral:rRNA from 1 species